rnacentral:rRNA from 1 species
CGGGCAACCUGCCCCUCUCUCUGGGAUAACCCCGGGAAACCGGAGCUAAUACCGGAUACUCCGGCUGGAUCGCAUGGUCCGGCCGGGAAAGGUCCGCCGGAGAGGGAUGGGCCCGCGGCCUAUCAGCUUGUUGGUGGGGUCAUGGCUCACCAAGGCGACGACGGGUAGCUGGUCUGAGAGGACGACCAGCCACACUGGGACUGAGAUACGGCCCAGACUCCGUACGGGAGGCA